GAUGAACGCUGGCGGCGUGCCUAAUACAUGCAAGUCGAGCGAACAGACGAGGAGCUUGCUCCUCUGACGUUAGCGGCGGACGGGUGAGUAACACGUGGAUAACCUACCUAUAAGACUGGGAUAACUUCGGGAAACCGGAGCUAAUACCGGAUAACAUGUUGAACCGCAUGGUUCAACAGUGAAAGACGGUCUUGCUGUCACUUAUAGAUGGAUCCGCGCCGCAUUAGCUAGUUGGUAAGGUAACGGCUUACCAAGGCAACGAUUCGUAGCCGACCUGAGAGGGUGAUCGGCCACACUGGAACUGAGACACGGUCCAGACUCCUACGGGAGGCAGCAGUAGGGAAUCUUCCGCAAUGGGCGAAAGCCUGACGGAGCAACGCCGCGUGAGUGAAGAAGGUCUUCGGAUCGUAAAACUCUGUUAUUAGGGAAGAACAAAUGUGUAAGUAACUAUGCACGUCUUGACGGUACCUAAUCAGAAAGCCACGGCUAACUACGUG
rnacentral:rRNA from 1 species